ACUGUGGAGUGUCAAACAAAAAGUCGGUAGCUACGGCAAAGACGGACACGCAGAAGCAGUAA
rnacentral:ncRNA from 1 species